GUACACUCCUGCGGGAGGCAGCAGUGGGGAAUAUUGGACAAUGGGCGCAAGCCUGAUCCAGCCAUGCCGCGUGAGUGAUGAAGGCCCUAGGGUUGUAAAGCUCUUUCACCGGUGAAGAUAAUGACGGUAACCGGAGAAGAAGCCCCGGCUAACUUCGUGCCAGCAGCCGCGGUAAUACGAAGGGGGCUAGCGUUGUUCGGAUUUACUGGGCGUAAAGCGCACGUAGGCGGACUAUUAAGUCAGGGGUGAAAUCCCGGGGCUCAACCCCGGAACUGCCUUUGAUACUGGUAGUCUUGAGUUCGAGAGAGGUGAGUGGAAUUCCGAGUGUAGAGGUGAAAUUCGUAGAUAUUCGGAGGAACACCAGUAGCGAAGGCGGCUCACUGGCUCGAUACUGACGCUGAGGUGCGAAAGCGUGGGGAGCAAACAGGAUUAGAAACCCCAGUAGUCCC
rnacentral:rRNA from 1 species